rnacentral:rRNA from 1 species
GAUGAACGCUGGCGGCGUGCUUAACACAUGCAAGUCGAACGGAAAGGCCCCUUUGGGGGUACUCGAGUGGCGAACGGGUGAGUAACACGUGAGUAACCUGCCCUUGACUUCGGGAUAACUUCAGGAAACUGGGGCUAAUACCGGAUAGGAAUCCUUGCUGCAUGGUGGGGGUUGGAAAGCUUCGGCGGUUUUGGAUGGACUCGCGGCUUAUCAGCUUGUUGGUGGGGUAGUGGCUUACCAAGGCUUUGACGGGUAGCCGGCCUGAGAGGGCGACCGGCCACAGUGGGACUGAGAUACGGCCCAGACUCCUACGGGAGGCAGCAGUGGGGAAUAUUGCACAAUGGGCGGAAGCCUGAUGCAGCAACGCCGCGGGCGGGAGGACGGGCUUCGGGUUGGAAACCGCUUUCAGCAGGGGCGAAGCUUGUGGUGACGGUACCUGCAGAAGAAGCACCGGCUAACUACGUG